UACUAUUUAAAAAAAAAAUAAUCAGAUAUGAAAAAUAAAAGACAAAAACUCUACCGACAGAAUCCUUUUCUCAAAAAUUUCUUCAGAUUAGAAAAGUAAUCGACGAUUGUUGCUUCCAAAUCGAAGAUAGAACAACAAAAUCAAAAGGAGUAAUCGCAUGUCAUGUUCAUCUCUGUGAGUCAUAAAAAGAGUAAAGGAUCGUUGAUAAGUGAAAGGAACAAAGCACUUAUAAUAGUGGUUUCAAUAGGAAGAGGGUCUUGGAUUUUUAUAAUAUGAAGAGGUUUAAAGGAGAGGUGCUUAGGUUAUUGUGAAACCUUGGAGCAUACUCCAAAUCGUAUCCCAACAGAUUUUAUAAACUGUAUAAUCGAUAUCAUUUAUUGUUAAUAUUGGUACCAUUUUGAAAGCUCCAAUAUAUUCGGUGGGUGUUUGCUCACGAUAUAAAAUAUUAUUA